AUUGAACGCUAGCGGGAUGCUUUACACAUGCAAGUCGAACGAGCGGCGGACGGGUGAGUAAUAUAUGGGAAUCUGCCCAGUAGCGGGGGAUAACUACUCGAAACAGUGGCUAAUACCGCAUACUAUUGGAGCGGCCGAUAUUGGAUUAGCUAGUUGGUGGGGUAAAGGCUCACCUAGGCAACGAUCCGUAGCUGGUUUGAGAGGAGGAUCAGCCACACUGGGACUGAGACACGGCCCAGACUCCUACGGGAGGCAGCAGUAGGGAAUUUUGGACAAUGGGGGAAACCCUGACCGAGCCAUGCCGCGUGAGUGAGAAGGCCUUCGGGUUGUAAAGUACUUUUGUUAGAGAAGCGGUAUCUGAAGAAUAAGCACCGGCUAACUACGUGCCAGCAGCCGCGGUAAUAC
rnacentral:rRNA from 1 species